rnacentral:misc_RNA from 1 species
UUUCCGUAGGUGAACCUGCGGAAGGAUCAUUAUUGGAUUUUGAAACUUCAGGCUGCUGCUGGCUCUCCUCGGAGGGCAUGUGCACGCUUGUUGUCCAUUAUUUCUCCCACUGUGCACAAAUUGUAGACCUUUCAGUAGGCCUAUGUUGUUUUUCACAAUCUCUGAAUGUAAUUGAAUGGUUUUGAAUCUUGGGAAAUACAAUACAACUUUCAGCAACGGAUCUCUUGGCUCUCGUAUCGAUGAAGAACGCAGC